rfam:Bacillus sp. MTM 13 1, whole genome shotgun sequence.
ACGAUGUUCCGCUGCAAUCAUUAAUGGAUUGGCAAGAGCAUUUU